UACCGGAAGUAUUCCGCGCCGUACAACCUCCGAGUUAAUCGGAAACAUCAGUUCCAGGAGGGCGAUGUCGUCUACAAGAAGAACGUCCUGCUGUCCGAUAAAGCACGAGAUUUUGUUGGAAAGUUUGGAGCAAAGUACACGAAGGUUCGAGUUCGACAAGUUUUGGGGACGAACUGUUAUGUUCUGGAAGAUUUCGAGGGUAAAAGGAUACCCGGAAGCUAUCACGGUUCGUUCCUUAAACGAGCAUAAACAACUAUCCAUUAGCUAUGUCAGGUGCAGCGAGAGCUGCGCAACAACCACUGCUGAUUAAGCACCACAAACACUCAUUGAGUACACCAAAACGAUGUUCGAGAUGUCAUUAACCUGUUUCCUCACAUCAAUUUAGUUAGAGAAGUUGUUUUGAUUCCAUUGUUAAGUUUUUAAUCGCGAUAUUCGAGUUUCUUGGCGUUUCCGUGCAUCCAUUCAAUUACCAUUCUCAACAUUUUCAUAUAAAAGUUCAUUUCAUCGCUCCAAAGUUACGUUUAAACUUCCUAAUUAGCUAAAAUAGACCUACUUUGUUAGAAAAUCACAUUUUCUUACCUUCAGUGAGAUUUUGAUACAUUUGUUUUGUUUGACAGAAAUGACAGUUCACGGCCGAGAUCGAACUCGCAGGGUCGAAUUUAGGUGACGUUAGAAAUUAAUCGUCUGAUGCGAUGUUUGUUUUCCAAAAUAUUCUGAGGGAUGAUUCGGUGUGAAAUAUUUCUGAACGCGUUUCGGUACGUUUGCGUUAGGCUUAGCAAAACAAAUUUUUCAAUCGUUAUUGAAGUUAAUUGGUUUGUAAUAAGUUUUCUCAGAUAUUUCUGAGGUAUUUUGGAUAUUUGGUACAUGGAAAUUUGUCAGAUAUAUCUGACGUCAUUCGGUUUAAUUAAGGUUAAGAUUUGAUUGCGAGUAUGAUUGUGUAGAGACCCAGAUGAAUUGGAAUGAGACUUGGAAUUGGAACAGAAUUUUGUAUUAAACAUUAUCAGACAUUUUUUACAUGUGUGUGUAAUUUUUGGUUGAGCUUUGGGAUCAUUAAGAUCAUUUGAAUUUGUUAGAAAUCAUAAGAAAAGAUUAGCUGCGACGUGAAUUUGAGUGGAAGCAGCUUUACAACAACUAGAAUAUACUUUGGCCCUAAGAACAUCAAUGCUUUGUUUUGUUAAUAAAAAUUUUGAAAUUUAAAUUUCAAAAUUUUUAUUGAAUUAGUGUCGGCGAAUGUAACCCUUAACUACCCCAUUAGAAAUUAUUAUGCCUCAAUCGUGGUUUUUUGCUAAUCAUAAAAGCUUUUGCAUUUGAGAGCGCCAUCUCUUACCGAGUAGAGGAAGCAAUUGUGGUUCAUUUCUUUUCAUUUCGGCACUCACGAUCGAGAUCUCAUUACCCUGGCCGUGGCUAUCCGUAAAAUUGUUAAAAGAUGGGCAAAGCGUGUCUUAAACCAAAAUUUGGUGCAAUAGAAAAAUGGGAAAGAAACGGGAAAACCCGAUCGUAUCCACUCAAUGUGUGUGAUAAGGAUGCCCCUAUUGAUUGCCAUAUGAGAAAAGGAGAUGUAAUGACGAUUCUAUCACACGGAUGUCGUUCGUGUAGCAAGAAUUUGCUGUAGAAAUGUUCUACAUCGGGGAUUAGAAUAUUCAAGUGGAGACUGUUGGCCAGUUAAGUUCAGCGGAUGCAAGUCAGUGAAAGUGUGAUUAGUGGUGCGACUAGUGGUGCGAUUAAAGUCAAUCUAUACAUUUUUUGUAUUAGUUCGUGAGCCGCAACGUUACAUUAGGUUCGCAAGUGGUUAGCACGUGCUUUCUGCUGACCAAAGUCGAAAGCUUAGCCAAUUCCAAGCUUUUGAAGUCGCACACCGAUCAAUAAAAUCUAGUUCGCAAAAAAGAUCAGGCGAAAACCCACUGUUCAACGUGGGAGCGAGUCUGGAGCGGUUUCUGGAGCGGCGCGAGACCGAAUUCGCGGCUCGAAACAUCCGUUCGAGGUUAGGUUGAACCACCCUAACCACGUGACUGGGCGUCACUCAUUGGGAAAACCGACGCCACCCCGUAGUGAACGCAGGGAUCUCCACAAAAACAUCGCGCGAAGCAAGCACCCGACGCUCGCAAGCAACUGGAGCGCACCUCGUGGCGGUGCUACGAACUAACGCACUGCUCGACCGGAAGUGUGUCUCCGCUACGUCAAUCGCCAACCUCCAAAAUUGUGGUGAAAACGUCGCCGCGGGAGUGUCCGUGCUGUUGGAUUACGCACGCGCGUGGUGAGUCCACCUGGUCGACCGACCGUACGCGUGAACGUGGGACUACGCGAAAACUGUCUACAAAGAACCUGUUCAUGCUUCCUGUCCUGCCGAUCCUGCCAGCCAGCUGAAUCGCGGUGGAACCGCCAAACAAG